AACCUAAACCCCGCAAGGGGCAUGGUUUAAAAACGUUCAACACAUAAAGCUCCUAGUCAGAGCUCGUGUUGAACGUUGCAUCGGGAAACCGGUGCAGGGGUCGCAAGACCU
rnacentral:sRNA from 1 species